rnacentral:rRNA from 1 species
UACGAAGGGGGCUAGCGUUGUUCGGAAUUACUGGGCGUAAAGGGCGCGCAGGCGGCCCUCCAAGUCAGGCGUGAAAGCCCCGGGCUCAACCCGGGAAUAGCGCUUGAGACUGGGGGGCUUGAGUUCGGGAGAGGAGAGUGGAAUUCCCAGUGUAGAGGUGAAAUUCGUAGAUAUUGGGAAGAACACCGGUGGCGAAGGCGGCGACCUGGUCCUUGACUGACGCUGAGGCGCGAAAGCGUGGGGAGCAGACAGG